CGGCGGAGUCUUCUGCGGCGUUGAGGCGGCAGCGGCGUCAUGUCCGGGCAGCGCGUCCGUCUGGCGGCGGCGGCGGAGAGGGCAGGCUGCGGAGGGUCUGGAGGUGCGACAUGAGAUUUUUUUUGGCGAGGGAUGCGAGGGAGACUGCGGGAGGGUGAGGAGUGCAUGCGAGGCGACGUUAUCCGGCGGCAGGACGAUGGUGAAGCCUGUGCACGUUAACUGUUCCUAUUUUUUAGUUGUGGAGAUUUCAAAUGAACCACUUCAGCCUUUGAAGUUCGGAUAUGUUUAACGUGAAACACUUGCAACUAUGCUAUCCGUACAUGUUAAAGUAGUUCAACUUUUACUCCCUCCGAUCUAUUUUAUUUAGGUAAGUUAGAAUAAUAUGGUCUUCUAAAUUAUACUAGGUUAAUGCCCGUACGUUGUUACGGGUUUUAAAAUCCACAUACUUUAUGUUUCUUCAUUGUUAUUUUAUUUUUUCUGUCUAUAUUCUUCUUUUUUUCAUUUUUUUAGUUUUAGUUUUUCGAUUUUAUUUUAUUUUCUGUUCUUUCGUUAUUCUUUUAUUGUUUUAAUUUUACCUUUUAUUUUCUUUUUGUUUUGGUUUUAUUUUUAUUGUUCUUCCUUGCUUCUAUUUGUUUUUCUUUUUUCUUUUCAGAUUUUCUAUGUUUCUUCAUUCUUAUUUUAUAUUUUAUUUCCUUUUAAUCUUAUUUUUAUAUUUAUUUAAAUUAUUCAUUAAUUUUAUUUGCUCUAUGCACUUUUUAUCAAUUGUUAAUUAUGUUUGUUUUUAUAUUUUUUUCUUAGUAAUUUUAUUUUUUAUUUUUAUUUUCUAUCUAUAUGUGAUAUUUAUGUAGUAUAUAUUUAGUGUUCUAUAUUGUGUUAUGUCAUGUUUACGUAAUAUAUAUGUGAUGUUCUAUGAUGUUUCUUACGGGAGUUGUGGCUUCACCAUGAGUGUGGUAGAUGGGCCCUCUUAAUAAUUUUUAGUUGUAGAGAUUUAUUGAUGUUAAUGUUCUAUAAAUAUAUUUACGAUAUUUAAAAAGUAACCCUUUGACAUUAUUUGAAAAUUUUCUCCAUUUUUUGUUUUUAUUUUUUUCUUAUGCUUUUUACUCUAGAUUUUUUUAUUAUUUUUAUCUAUGUCAUCUAUUUAUGGAUUUUUAUGUAUAUUGUAAUAUCAUUUUCAUAAACCUAAAAACAAAAUACUAUUCUUCUAAAUCGAUAACAUUUUUUUACAAAGACAAAACAUUGUCGGUUGAACCUAGAAUAUUGUUUCUACUUAAUAAAAGAAAAUAUUUUAUCUUUAUAAGAUAAAUAUUCAUUAAUAAAAUUUUAUCUAAAUAUAUCCAUGUAUGAUCUUGUUUUGAAGGAUUUGUUAUAAGAAAUUUAAUGGUGCAAUCAAAAUUUAAUUUAUAUCUCUAGUUUAGGAGUUAUGACUUUUUUUAAUUCGUUAAAACAAUUUUGCAUAAAUAGGUGAGUGGGGCCUAGGUUGAUGGGAUAGUGUGUCAUCACGCAGUAAAAAAGACCACCAAUGGGAUGAAAGUUGUGGAUGGGUCCUCUCCAUAAUUUUUAGUUGUAGAGAUAAAUAUUAAUUAAUAAAAUUUUAUCUAAAUAUAUCCAUGUGUGAUCUUGUUUUGAAGGAUUUGUUAUGAGAAAUGUAAUGGUGCAAUCGGAAUUUAAUUUAUAUCUUCGUUUUAAAAGUUAUGACUUUUUUAAAUUCGCCAAAACAUUUUUGCAUGCAUGGGUGAGUGGGGCCUAGGUUGAUGGGAUAGCCUAUCAUGGCUAAAAGGAAUGGGAGUUGUGGCUUCACCAUGUAUGUGGUAGAUGGGUCCUUUUCAUAAUUUUUAGUUGUAGAGACUAUUCAUUUGCUUUAUAUUAUAUUAUUUAUUCUUAUAAAUUUAUUAUCAUUAGAUAGUAUAUUUCCUUACAAUUUAAUCUAUUAAUUAUUGGUCAAAAUAAGUUUGAAGCUUGAUAUACGUGUGCACUAGAUAAAAUGGUCUGGUAGGAAUAACAAAUUUUAUAAUGAAUGUAAUUUAUAUUUAUGUUUUUGUAAAUCGAUUUUUUUAUAAAAGUAUACAUUUCAUAAUUAAUCUCAUAUUAUUUUGUUUUAUGGACGUAACUAACAUAGACACAUGCACAACCGUCAUCAACCUCACAUGCCCCCUUCCCCCUCUUCCUCGCGCCGACCCCAUCUUCCUCCUUGCCGGCGACCCUCGUCCCCACCGCUGCC
rnacentral:lncRNA from 1 species